UACGUAGGGUGCAAGCGUUGUCCGGAAUUAUUGGGCGUAAAGAGCUCGUAGGCGGUCUGUCGCGUCGGCUGUGAAAACCCGCGGCUCAACCUCGGGCCUGCAGUCGAUACGGGCAGACUAGAGUGCGGUAGGGGAGACUGGAAUUCCUGGUGUAGCGGUGAAAUGCGCAGAUAUCAGGAGGAACACCGAUGGCGAAGGCAGGUCUCUGGGCCGCAACUGACGCUGAGGAGCGAAAGCAUGGGGAGCGAACAGG
rnacentral:rRNA from 1 species